CCCUCGGAUUGGGCCCCCGAACCCAGACUGGGCUCUCCCAUUGGUGGGCGGAGCUGUCCGUCAGGCCAGGGGCAUGCUGGGAGUUGUAGGCCGGUGCAACCCAGGCUGCAAAAUCAUCUUUCUCCAUCAGGAACUACUCUCUCAUGAAUGAUGUACCCCGGACCGAAAACUCCUCAAGUGAAAUGCAUGAGAUGAGGAAGGGUGUUGGAAUGCUGGUUCUAAUACAUCAUUCUAUGGUAGUGGAGCUACAGGAUUUCACAAACAUUUUAUCCCACUUCAUGGAAGCUGAUGUUGACAUAACAGCAUGACUAUUAUCCAUACCCCUGGAGUUCCAAUUUUUCUUUAUCAAGCAGCCUUAAUCAUCAUAUUGGACCCUGCGAAGCAGGUGCACUUCACAGAGG